rnacentral:rRNA from 1 species
UACGGAGGGUGCAAGCGUUAAUCGGAAUUUCUGGGCGUAAAGCGUACGUAGGCGGCUUGUUAAGCAAGAUGUGAAAUCCCCGGGCUCAACCUGGGAAUGGCAUUUUGAACUGGCAGGCUCGAGUUCUGAAGAGGGUGGUAGAAUUUCCAGUGUAGCGGUGAAAUGCGUAGAUAUUGGAAGGAAUACCGGUGGCGAAGGCGGCCACCUGGUCAGAAACUGACGCUGAGGUACGAAAGCGUGGGGAGCAAACAGG